AUUAUAUUCUGGUAUGGAGGGGGCAUUAUAUUCUGGUAUGGAGGGGGGCAUUAUAUUCUGGUAUGGAGGGAGCAUUAUAUUCUGGUAUGGAGGGGACCAUUAUAUUCUGGUAUGGAGGGGGUAUUAUAUUCUGGUAUGAGGGGGGAAUUAUAUUCUGGUAUGGAGGGGAGCAUUAUAUUCUGGUAUGGAGGUGGUAUUAUAUUCUGGUAUGGAGGGGGCAUUAUAUUCUGGUAUGGAGGGGGCAUUAUAUUCUGGUAUGGAGGGGGCAUUAUAUUCCGGUAUGGAGGGGGGUAUUAUAUUCCGGUAUGGAGGGGGCAUUAUAUUCUGGUAUGGAGGGGGCAUUAUAUUCUGGUAUGGAGGUUGUAUUAUAUUCUGGUAUGGAGAGGGUAUUAUAUUCUGGUAGGGAGGGGGCAUUAUAUUCUGGUAUGGAGGGGGCAUUAUAUUCUGGUAGGGAGGGGGCAUUAUAUUCUGGUAUGGAGGGGGCAUUAUAUUCUGGUAUGGAGGGGGCAUUAUAUUCUGGUAUGGAUGGGGCAUUAUAUUCUGGUAUGGGGGGGGGGCAUUAUAUUCUGGUAUGGAGGGAGCUG
rnacentral:lncRNA from 1 species